rnacentral:lncRNA from 1 species
UGCAGCUUUGCAGUCAGGCAGCUCUGCAGUCAGGCAGCUCUGCAGCUUCACCACUCAGGGAACAGGGACUGGCAGCUGCUCUGGAGCCUCCACCAUCAGAGGAGGAGUGAGAGGCACAGGAAACCACUGCCCAGGCAGAGGACCUUGAAGAACCUGUCCUGCCAGGUCUCAUUCUGUCCAGAUGAAGAUCUCUUCGAGUGGCUACUUGGAAGGCAUCUUUUCCAGAGGCCCCUGACGUUGAUUCUUCUUUAGACUCUAAUGUGGUUACAUGUCCAUCCUUGAACCAGUGACUGCAGCUGAAGGUCUUAUCAUCUGGAGCCCAGCCAGCAACCCAGCCUGACCUACUUUCCCACUGGAUUUCAAAACUGCCCCCCUUGUCCUCUCGUUGGACUUUUCCUAAGGAGAGUCUACUGUGCCGGAAAACUCAACACUAAAAAUAAAAACUAGAACGGAGAAGG